CCCGUAGGCGGAGGAGGAGGAGGAAGAGCACACACUACAGGAGAGAUUCUCUACUGAGUAGGGGCUGCUUCCCAAGCUGUGUUCUCUCUCCACAGCUUCUCAGUCACUGCUUCAGCUCCAAGAACCAAUCACAAAGAUCCUGCCACACCCACCAAAAUGAAUGGGAUCAUCAUUUAUGAGCGUAUAAACUUCCAAGGUAAAUCCAAAGAAUUCAUUUCUGACAUCGCUGACUUGAAGCCUGUAGAGUGGGGCCACUGUGUCUCUUCUGUAAAGGUCGCUGGCCAACCCUGGGUGGCCUAUGAGUAUCCUAAUUAUUCAGGCAAGUUCCUGGUGUUUGAGGAAGGUGAAUACAGCUUUGUUGGUGAAGAUAUGAAUGACAAGAUCACUUCUCUCAAGCUGAUUACUGAAGACCUGAAGAAUCCCAAGAUCACCCUGUAUGAACUUGCCAACUAUGAAGGGGAAAUCAAGGUGGUAAAAGAAGCAACCAGCCUGAGCAAGGGAUCUUUCAAUGACCGAGUGUCAUCCCAUAAGGUGCAGAGCGGUGCCUGGCUAUUGUGUGACCGGGCGGAUGAAAGAGGCUUGAAUUAUGUUGCCCUGAAAGGUGAACAGCUUCCAAACUAUGAAUCGAUCAAUUUCGAUGACAAGCUUUCAUUUCUGCAUCCCCUGAGAGCCGGCUGGGGCUAGUUCCAAUGGGCUGCAGACCUUGCCAUCCUGGGGUGCCAUCGAUCAGAGGCCCCCACAGGAAGGGGCAGAGUUAGAGCUCUGCCCAUGCUUGCACUUCAUUGCUCCACACACCACAGAAUCAGUGAAUUUGGGAAAGCGCAGCUCAUCCUGUGCAGUGCUUCAUAGCCUGGUAUCCUGCUGUUUGUCCCCCAAGGCCAUGCCAGAACUUCCUCCCAGACCUCACCCUCCCAGUCUCCUUCACGCUUUCCCUGAUUGGCAGCUUCCUCUGGGGUGUUCCCUUCCCUCCCAGACUCUUCACACAGCUCUAACUAGGAGGCUUAUUCAGGGAUCUGCUGGCCUCUGUCUGCCAUUUAUUUUCCUUUCAAUCCCUUCUCCAGUGUGAGAUCUCCAAUUUCUACAGCUUCAUGUGGGGUGGGAAAGGGAAUGGGGAGGGGAUCAUGUUCUUCGUGGAGAUAGGAACUUCCAGCAUCUCCCAGUAUCAGCAGGGGAUAAAUGAGCCACCCACCAACAGGGAAAAAAUCAUGGUGUGCCACUGGCCAAGAGAUCUACUCACACAGUGCUGGUCAUCUGUGCCCUAAAGUGCCAUCUCAAGGUUGAUCGAGUUGAUUACUAUCUAUGAUCAGAGAAGAAGAACCGAGCAUGAAGUGCACCAGAACACAUUGUGCAUAGCACCAGCCCAGGAGUAAGCUCCAGCAUGGAGGUGGCUCCACAAACCCACUGUGUUUCCUCCCUCUUCCAUCCCAACAUGCUCAUGUCGGCUUCCAAGAAAGGGUUGAAGGGUUUCCAGUCUGCUAGCUUCUCUGAGUGAUUUAUUGUUAACCUGCUCCAAUAAAGUGAUUUGCAGUGAAA